UACAGAGGUCUCAAGCGUUGUUCGGAUUCAUUGGGCGUAAAGGGCGCGCAGGCGGCUGCUCAAGUCAGGCGUGAAAGGCCUGGGCUCAACCCGGGAAUUGCGCUUGAGACUGGGUUGGCUUGAGUGCGGGAGAGGAUGGUGGAAUUCCCAGUGUAGAGGUGAAAUUCGUAGAUAUUGGGAAGAACACCGGUGGCGAAGGCGGGUCUCUGGGCCGAUACUGACGCUGAGGAGCGAAAGCGUGGGGAGCGAACAGG
rnacentral:rRNA from 1 species